rnacentral:rRNA from 6 species
UACGUAGGGCGCAAGCGUUAUCCGGAAUUAUUGGGCGUAAAGAGCUCGUAGGCGGUUUGUCGCGUCUGCCGUGAAAGUCCGGGGCUCAACUCCGGAUCUGCGGUGGGUACGGGCAGACUAGAGUGAUGUAGGGGAGACUGGAAUUCCUGGUGUAGCGGUGAAAUGCGCAGAUAUCAGGAGGAACACCGAUGGCGAAGGCAGGUCUCUGGGCAUUAACUGACGCUGAGGAGCGAAAGCAUGGGGAGCGAACAGG